UCAGUCCCAAAUGAUAAAGUCAUCAGGAAAAAGAAAAAAAAAAAAAACCUAAGAAAAAAAGAAAAAAAAAAGAAUAUUGCUCUCUGGAAGAUCUGAGUUAGUCUUUUAGAGAAUUGAUUCUGUAACCAAUAUCUCUUACGGUGAUGGAGGACUUUGUUUUCUUUGUUUCAGAUUUAUUAGAAAAAAAUAUAAUGAGAACUUAAAAUUCAAGGUUUUGGAGGCAGAGGAUUUGCUAUUUUUUAAUCAGAAUGAAAAAGAAAGGAUCUAGAUUUAGAAAAAUUAUUCUAAUUACUUUAAUUGUAGUAACUCUAAAUUAGACCUUAAGUGUCUGAAAUCAUAUUCUUUUUCAAUAGUGUUGCAUAGGUACAACUUCAGGAUGAAAUGAUUUUAAAGAAAGGUGGAAACUGUAGAUGAGUAUUAUUUGUAGCUUCAGAAUGUCAGGGUCAUGGCACACUGGAUGCCUUUUGUCUCAGCAUUCCACGCGGAUGGAACAGAAGCUGUGGUCUCCAAAGAAGAGGCAUCCUGAGCCAUCCUGAAACAGGGGAAGAACUGACAAUAGCAUCCCUUCUCCUUGCUAUCUCUUGCUGAUCUCAUCUUUCAACUUCACUAGAGCUGAUUUCACAGAGGAGAAAUCUGAUAGCCAAAACAUCAGAGGCAGAUAUUGGUGGUAUGUCAGUAGAGGCUGAACCUGACCAACAGUACUCCAUUCCAUGUUGUUGCUGUGUGACAGAUGGCAGCAGAGGGGCCUGACAAAAUGGCGUCUGACAUGGAAAUGUGUGCAAAGCAAAGGUGUGUCAUUGAAUUCCUCCAUGCAGAAACAGUGGCACCCACUGACAUUCAUGGACGCUUGCUGAACGUUUAUGGAGACCAAACAGUGGAUGUGAGCACAAUGAAGGGGUGGGUGGUGUGUUUCAGCUUGGACGUGGCAACAAAAGCAGUGGGUUGCCUCUGCUGGUGCAGUAUUUUAUCUGUGCAACACAUAGGCUCUUGUUCCUUGCUGGCAAAGAUGCACAGGUAAUGGUGGUGACUAUGUUGAAAAAUCAUGUUUUGUAGCUGAAAAUUUGCUCUACCGAAUAGUGUUAUUUUGCUCUUUGUAUCUGCUGUAGUUUCCAUAGAAAUAAGAAGGAGGCAUUACUUUCGGAGCGACCAAACAUACCAUAGUUCCAGCACUUCGCAGAGUCGCACAAUGGCUUUUGGGUCGGAAGGGACCUUAAAGAUCACCCCGUUUCCUGGGCCCCUUCCCGAUUUUCCUCAUAGUCCGCAGCUAGCGGGCAGGUCCCGCCUCAGGCCGGCAGACGCGACAAGCUCGGCAGCCUUAUGAAGCUAAAAAUGCACAUAUA
ensembl:lncRNA